UACGGAGGAUCCAAGCGUUAUCCGGAUUUAUUGGGUUUAAAGGGUGCGUAGGCGGCCUAUUAAGUCAGGGGUGAAAGACGGUAGCUCAACUAUCGCAGUGCCCUUGAUACUGAUGGGCUUGAAUGAACUAGAGGUAGGCGGAAUGUGACAAGUAGCGGUGAAAUGCAUAGAUAUGUCACAGAACACCGAUUGCGAAGGCAGCUUACUAUGGUUUUAUUGACGCUGAGGCACGAAAGCGUGGGGAUCAAACAGGAUUAGAUACCCUGGUAGUCCACGCCCUAAACGAUGAAUACUCGCUGUUGGCGAUACACAGUCAGCGGCUAAGCGAAAGCGUUAAGUAUUCCACCUGGGGAGUACGCUCGCAAGAGUGAA
rnacentral:rRNA from 1 species